rnacentral:rRNA from 1 species
AGGUGAAAAGCACUUCGAACAGAAGAGUGAAAUAGUCCCUGAACCCAUACGCCUACAAGCAGUCGGAGCCGCUUCGUGCGGUGACGGCGUGCCUUUUGCAUAAUGAGCCUACGAGUUACUCAUCACCAGCGAGGUUAAGUACUUCAGGUACGUAAGCCGAAGCGAAAGCGAGUCUGAAUAGGGCGUCAAGUUGGUGGUGGUAGACGCGAAACCUUAGUGAUCUACCCAUGGGCAGGGUGAAGGUUUGGUAACACAAACUGGAGGCCCGAACCGGUAAACGUUGAAAAGUUUUCGGAUGACCUGUGGGUAGGGGUGAAAGGCCAAUCAAACUGGGAAAUAGCUCGUACUCUCCGAAAUGCAUUUAGGUGCAGCCUCUGUUGUUUUGUUCUAGAGGUAGAGCUACUGAUUGGAUGCGAGGGCUUCACCGCCUAUCAAAUCCGGCCAAACUCCGAAUGCUAGAACAUAAAGACAGGGAGUGAGCCAGCGGGUGCUAAGGUCCGUUGACGAAAGAGGGAGAACUCAGACCAUCAGCUAAGGUCCCCAAUUAUAUGCUAAGUUGGAAUAAAAACGGGGUGGGACUGCUUAGACAGCUAGGAUGUUGGCUUGGAAGCAGCCAUUCAUUUAAAGAGUGCGUAACAGCUCACUAGUCGAGCGGUCCUGCAUGGAUAAUACGCGGGCAUAAGCAUAUAACCGAAGCUAUGGGAUUGUAGAUGAUACAAUCGGUAGGAGAGCAUUCCAUUCAGCAUAGAAGCAGUACCGUGAGGUAUUGUGGAGCGGAUGGAAAAGCAAAUGUAGGCAUAAGUAACGAUAAUGCGGGUGAGAACCCCGCACGCCGAAAGAUCAAGGAUUCCCCGGCAAUGUCAAUCAUCCGGGGGUAAGUCGGAUCCUAAGGGUAAGCCGAGUGGCGAUCCCGAUGGUAAACAGGUUAAUAUUCCUGUACUGAUCAUAACUGCGAUGCAGCGACGCAGAGGUGACACUGCUGCGUACUGACGGAAUAGUACGUUGAAACCCGUAUUCUUUGAUACCGGUAGUGAAGCACGCCGGUAGAGAUGAAAGGUGAUAGUACCGCAAUGCUUCGGUUGCGCGGAUAAUGCAGGUAAGCUGACUGCCAAGAAAACCUGCUAAGCUUCAGGUAAUGAUCAUCCGUACUGUAAACGGACACACGUGAUCAGGUAGAAAAUACUAAGGCGCUCGAGAGAUUCAUGGUUAAGGAACUAGGCAAAAUGGUCCUGUAACUUCGGGAUAAAGGACGCUCUUGUGAAAGAGCCGCAGAUAAUAGGCCCAGGCGACUGUUUACCAAAAACACAUGGCUAUGCUAAUUCGCAAGAAGAUGUAUAUGGCCUGACACCUGCCCGGUGCCGGAAGGUUAAGAGGAGAGCUCAGAGGUAACUCGAAGGUUUGAAUUGAAGCCCCGGUAAACGGCGGCCGUAACUAUAACGGUCCUAAGGUAGCGAAAUUCCUUGUCGGGUAAGUUCCGACCUGCACGAAUGGUGUAACGAUCUGGGUACUGUCUCAACCAUGAGCUCGGUGAAAUUGUAGUUCCGGUGAAGAUGCCGGAUACCCGCAACGGGACGGAAAGACCCCGUGAACCUUUACUGCAGCUUUGCAUUGAUUUUGGGUAACAGAUGUGUAGGAUAGGUCGGAGGCUUUGAUGCUGCGUCGUCAGGCGUAGAGUAGCCGUCGUUGAAAUACGACCCUUUUGUUAUCUGAGGUCUAAUCCCGUUAGGGAGACAUUGCAUGGUGGGUAGUUUGACUGGGGUGGUCGCCUCCAAAAGUGUAACGGAGGCUUCUCAAGGUACCCUCAAGGCGUUUGGUAAUCGUCUGCAGAGUGCAAUGGCAUAAGGGUGCUUGACUGUGAGACCGACACGUCGAUCAGGUUGGAAACAAGAGCAUAGUGAUCCGGUGGUUCCGCAUGGAAGGGCCAUCGCU